GUUUAUUCUAUUGAUCUCCUGUCUAAGAUCUGUGUGUAGAAUAUAACCGAAAGAUUUUCCUCUGGGUAUCUAGAAAAACGUCUAAUUAACGAACGUAACUUUAGAGCAGAAGGCCCUUAAAUGGAACAAUCCCUCAGAGCGAAAGGAAUAGCCACUUGCAGGACGGAGCCUAAGAUUUCUAGGGGUUAUGGCUAAUGGGACUGCUUAGGCCGCAUGGAUUUCUGGACUGCACUUGGACGGCGGGAGCGGCGUAUGCAAAUGGAGCCCUUGUGAUUGAGUGUUUGUAUCUGCAACUACCUCGCCAUAAUUUUCCGCAUUCACUUGGGCUCGGAGUCGAACGCAUGUAUAUGUAUCCUCAGAUGCAG